GGUGAGUAACACGUGGGCAACCUGCCUGUAAGACGGGGAUAACUCCGGGAAACCGGGGCUAAUACCGGAUGAUUCUUAUCUACACAUGUAGGUAAGCUAAAAGUCGGUUUCGGCUGACACUUACAGAUGGGCCCGCGGCGCAUUAGCUAGUUGGUGAGGUAACGGCUCACCAAGGCGACGAUGCGUAGCCGACCUGAGAGGGUGAUCGGCCACACUGGGACUGAGACACGGCCCAGACUCCUACGGGAGGCAGCAGUAGGGAAUCUUCCACAAUGGACGAAAGUCUGAUGGAGCAACGCCGCGUGAGCGAUGAAGGCCUUCGGGUCGUAAAGCUCUGUUGUUAGGGAAGAACAAGUACCGGAGUAACUGCCGGUGCCCCUUNNGGGGNCNAAAACNNAAAGCCACGGCUAACUACNUGCCAGCAGCCGCGGUAAUACGUAGGUGGCAAGCGUUGUCCGGAAUUAUUGGGCGUAAAGCACGCGCAGGCGGUCCUUUAAGUCUGAUGUGAAAGCCCCCGGCUCAACCGGGGAGGGUCAUUGGAAACUGGAGGACUUGAGUGCAGAAGANGAAAGCGGAAUUCCACGUGUAGCGGUGAAAUGCGUAGAGAUGUGGAGGAACACCAGUGGCGAAGGCGGCUUUCUGGUCUGUAACUGACGCUGANGCGCGAAAGCGUGGGGAGCAAACANGAUUANAUACCCUGGUAGUCCACGCC
rnacentral:rRNA from 1 species